AGGAUGCGGGAGAGGGAAGGAAGGUGUCUGAAAUCCGGCUUCGACUUACGGAUAGCGGCGGACGGGUGAGUAACGCGUGGGCAACCUGCCCCGUACAGCGGGAUAACACCGUGAAAAUGGUGCUAAUACCGCAUGACACAAUAACGCGACAUCGCGAAGUUGUCAAAGGAGAGAUCCGGUACAGGAUGGGCCCGCGUCCAAUUAGCUGGUUGGUGAGGUAACGGCCCACCAAGGCAACGAUUGGUAGCCGAGCUGAGAGGUUGAUCGGCCACAUUGGGACUGAGAUACGGCCCAGACUCCUACGGGAGGCAGCAGUGGGGAAUAUUGCGCAAUGGGGGGAACCCUGACGCAGCAACGCCGCGUGAAGGAAGAAGGUUUUCGGAUCGUAAACUUCUUUGAUUGGGGACGAAAAAAAUGACGGUACCCAAAGAACAAGCCACGGCUAACUACGUGCCAGCAGCCGCGGUAAUACGUAGGUGGCGAGCGUUGU
rnacentral:rRNA from 1 species